rnacentral:rRNA from 1 species
GAUGAACGCUAGCUACAGGCGUAACACAUGCAAGUCGAGGGACCGGCGCACGGGUGAGAAACACGUAUCAAACCUGCCCUUUACUCGGGGACAGCCUUUCGAAAGAAAUAUUAAUACCCGAUGUAAAGGAUGGGGAUGCGUUCCAUUAGGUUGUUGGUGAGGUAACGGCUCACCAAGCCUUCGAUGGAUAGGGGUUCUGAGAGGAAGGUCCCCCACAUUGGAACUGAUACACGGUCCAUACUCCUACGUGAGGCAGCAGUGAGGAAUUUUGGUCAAUGGGCGUUAGACUGAACCAGCCAAGUAGCGUGUCUUAAGAAGGCCUAGGGUUGUAAAGUACUUUCAGUCGGGAGGCGUUACCGACAGAAGAAGCACCGGCUAACUCCGUGCCAGCCGCCGCGGUAAUAC